CCAAACUAAGCCUUAGUAAAGACGUUUUCAGAUUUCCAACGAAAAGAUAUUGUCUUCCCAGCUGUUAGUCUUCUUCCUUUGAUCUUUUCUUUUCCAUCGUUGCCUUCUUCUUAUUCGCAGCCCGUCUUCCACUCAUUUUCCUCUUCUAAAGAUUUUUGUACCGCCAUGUAUUUUCCUGCUAGAUAGAUCGUCUUCUCCUCUUUUGUCCCCGCAACUGGUGUUGUUACUAUUUCCAAUUGGUUUAUCUCCAUCCCCGAUCUACCUCUGCUUCAGUAAUGCCAUUUCCGCCGGACCCAGGAGCCAGGAUCUGUUCUGUCUAUUAUCAAAGGCAGCAUCAAAGUUUAUCUUGAAGAACUCUUUUUCCGGAGGCCUCCAUAACUCAGAUUCCAACCUUAAGCUGCCCAGAUAGCCCAUAAAGUGCAAAUGAAGGUCUGACUGGCUUCUCUUGUACUGUGGAGCAUAAUUCAGGUAAACCAUUCCAUAAACUCUACUUGUGAAAGAGCCUGAGGCCAUGUAAACUCUAAUUUUUCCCAUAUUUCUUUUGUGACAGUGCAAUCCCGGAAGACGUGUUCUCUUGUUUCCAGCCCUUACAAGCACCUCUAACAAUUGGCCUCAUUUAUUAGUCGCUUAGCUUUUAGGUUUACUAGAGUAGGGAUAAAGUUAAGGGUGACUCUCCAGGCAGAAAUAUUAAUUUUUGAAGGGAGGUCACAGCUCCAGAGUUUUUUGUAACAUGUAUUGAUUUCCUCUUGCCUGUAAUUUUCAUUUCUUUGUAAGAGGAUUUUGUAACUGCUGCACACAGAAUACUCUCCAGAUGCCUCGCCUUGCCAA